CAGCUCUGCCUGUGGCGGACCA
rnacentral:siRNA from 1 species